UUUCCGUAGGUGAACCUGCGGAAGGAUCAUUAUCGAAUUUCGAGGGGACGGAAGAUGAGGAGUGGAGACUGCCGCUGGCUUUCCCGCCUGGGAAGCAUGUGCACGCCUUGCUUUUCGUUGACCUUUCUCUUACUCUCACACCUGUGCACCCAUCGUAGGUCCUCGAAAGAGGAUCUAUGUUUUUAUCAUCACACGCAUCGUAUGUCCAUAGAAUGUAACAUGAUCGUCGAUCGACCUCGCGGUCGGGUGGCGGUCUAAAUAAAUAAAUACAACUUUCAGCAACGGAUCUCUUGGCUCUC
rnacentral:misc_RNA from 1 species